UGAGGUUGUGAAAAAUUUAAUAAUACCAACAGAAUAUCAUACAAUUCUGAUUUUUGAACUGAAUUAUAAGGACUUUGAACCACUUUACUUAAAUUUUCUGAUUUGUAA